GUCUCUCAGUAACUAUUGAGAGUCUGGCCUGCCCGGUGAUUACUUUAACGGCCGCGGUACCCUGACCGUGCAAAGGUAGCAUAAUCAUUUGCCUUUUAAUUGAAGGCUAGUAUGAAUGGCUCGACGAGAGUAAAACUGUCUCACACACAUUUCAUAAAAAUUAAUCUAAAGGUGCAAAAGCCUUUAUUUAUCAAAAAGACGAGAAGACCCUGUUGAGCUUUAAUUUUAGCUAGAUGUGCCUUUAUAUUUAUAUAAUUUAUUUAUCUAGUAAAAAUUUUAAUUGGGGCGAUUAAGGAACAUUAAAAAGCUUCCUGAAUAAUAAUAUCAAUAUUGAUAAAUUAAAUCGAUCCAGCAAUGCUGAUCAACAAAAUGAGUUACCACAGGGAUAACAGCAUAAUUCUUUUUAAGAGCUCAUAUCGAAAAAAGAGUUUGUGACCUCGAUGUUGGACUAGGGUGACGGAAAGGUGCAGCCGCUUUUCUGUUUGGUCUGUUCGACCA
rnacentral:rRNA from 1 species